GGUUGUCGUCAGCUCGUGUCGUGAGAUGUUGGGUUAAGUCCCGCAACGAGCGCAACCCUUACGGUUAGUUGCCAGCGGGUUAUGCCGGGCACUCUAGCUGAACUGCCGUUGACAAAACGGAGGAAGGUGGGGAUGACGUCAAAUCAUCAUGCCCUUUAUGUCCUGGGCUACACACGUGCUACAAUGGCCGGUACAGACGGACGCAAAGCCGCGAGGUGGAGCAAAUCCUAAAAAGCCGGUCUCAGUUCGGAUUGCAGGCUGCAAUUCGCCUGCAUGAAGUCGGAAUCGCUAGUAAUCGCAGGUCAGCAUACUGCGGUGAAUACGUUCCCGGGCCUU
rnacentral:rRNA from 1 species